UACGUAGGUGGCAAGCGUUGUCCGGAUUUACUGGGCGUAAAGGGCGCGCAGGCGGUCGUGCAAGUCGCGUGUGAAAGCCCCCGGCUCAACUGGGGGAGGGUCACGCGAUACUGCUCGACUUGAAGGCAGGAGAGGGAAGCGGAAUUCCCGGUGUAGUGGUGAAAUGCGUAGAUAUCGGGAAGAACACCCGUGGCGAAGGCGGCUCUCUGGGACGGUACUGACGCUGAGACGCGAAAGCGUGGGGAGCGAACAGG
rnacentral:rRNA from 1 species